GACGAACGCUGGCGGCGUGCUUAACACAUGCAAGUCGAACGGUAAGGCCCUUCGGGGUACACGAGUGGCGAACGGGUGAGUAACACGUGGGUGAUCUGCCCUGCACUUCGGGAUAAGACUGGGAAACUGGGUCUAAUACCGGAUAGGACCACUGCCUGCAUGGGCGGUGGUGGAAAGCUUUUGCGGUGUGGGAUGGGCCCGCGGCCUAUCAGCUUGUUGGUGGGGUGAUGGCCUACCGAGGCGACGACGGGUAGCCGGCCUGAGAGGGUGACCGGCCACACUGGGACUGAGAUACGGCCCAGACUCCUACGGGAGGCAGCAGUGGGGAAUAUUGCACAAUGGGCGCAAGCCUGAUGCAGCGACGCCGCGUGAGGGAUGACGGCCUUCGGGUUGUAAACCUCUUUCAGCACCGACGAAGCGCAAGUGGCGGUAGGUGCAGAAGAAGGACCGGCCAACUACGUGCCAGCAGCCGCUGUAA
rnacentral:rRNA from 1 species